AUCUACUUAUACGAGGGGGAUAGCCCAGAGUAAAUUUGGAUUAAUACCCCAUAGUAUAAUUGAAUGGCAUCAUUUAAUUAUUAAAGUUCCAACGGUAUAAGAUGAGCAUGCGUCCCAUUAGCUAGUUGGUGUGGUAACGGCACACCAAGGCGACGAUGGUAGGGGUCCUGAGAGGGAGAUCCCCCACACUGGUACUGAGACACGGACCAGACUCCUACGGGAGGCAGCAGUGAGGAAUAUUGGUCAAUGGGCGCAAGCCUGAACCAGCCAUGCCGCGUGCAGGAUGACGGUCCUAUGGAUUGUAAACUGCUUUUGUACAGGAAGAAACACUCCCUCGUGAGGGAGCUUGACGGUACUGUAAGAAUAAGGAUCGGCUAACUCCGUG
rnacentral:rRNA from 1 species